rnacentral:rRNA from 1 species
CCUACGGGAGGCAGCAGUGGGGGAUAUUGCACAAUGGGGGGAACCCUGAAGCAGCGACGCCGCGUGGAGGAAGAAGGGCCUCGGCGCGUAAAACCCUGUUAGCAGGGAAGAAAAUGACGGUACCUGAAGAAGAAGCCCCGGCUAACUACGUGCCAGCAGCCGCGGUAAUACGUAGGGUGCAAGCGUUAUCCGGAUUUACUGGGCGUAAAGGGGGCGCAGGCGGGGAAGCAAGUCAGAAGUGAAAGCCCGGGGCUUAACCCCGGGACUGCACUUGGAACUGCGUGUCUUGAGUGUAGGAGGGGCAGGCGGAAUUCCUGGUGUAGCGGUGAAAUGCGUAGAUAUCAGGAGGAACACUGGUGGCGAAGGCGGCCUGCUGGACUGCAACUGACGUUGAGGCCCGAAAGCGUGGGGAGCAAACAGGAUUAGAUACCCGUGUAGUC